UCCUGGAUGACUCCCAACUGCUGAUGGCCUGCAGCCCAUGUGAUUCAGUCCCAGCAAGACCAGGACAGCACUAAAAGCUGAUUUAGGGCAAAAAGAAAAUUCCAGAACUACCAAUUUCAGCAAGGCUUCACAUGAAAUAUGAUUAGGUGUACUCCUGUGUUUGAACAGUAAGGAAUCCAGACUGGUUUCCCUGCCUGGAAAGGCAGAAGGAAUGGUGCUGAUUCUCACCUGCAUGAUUUUCUGUGUGCUUUCUAAGACCUCUAGGACAGGAUUGAAAUGCCCCACAGAAACAUUGUCUUCUAUGUAAUAACUAACCAGCCUGGACAAGUAAUGUAGAGUGGACAACUUUAGGAUGGCAAAAUUAAAGGGGUCAAGACAGGAUUCUUUGCUGCUUUGGACUUGAAGCUCAGUUAUUUAUAUACCUUACCUGCAAACCUUUUUCCUAGCUUUCCCAAAACUUCACAAAUGGAUGUCCCACUGACCUCAAAAAGGCUGGUCCUCCAAACGCUGCAGGAUUAUCAGCCACUAGGUCACCACACCAUGUGAUAUUUUCCUUCACCUUUAAGAUUCCUGGCUGAUAGAGAUCCAAAGCCUUUUAUGCUGUCAAAGUGGCCGCAGAGUUUUCAGGUGUCAAGUGACUCACAGAUUUCCCUGCAAGCAGAUGUCAGCCUGCAUUGCCUGGAUCUUUUGUAGCAAUCAGUCAAUCUACUUGAUGAAUAUUCAGCUAUUAAUUACACAGACUCACAGAACACCAGGUUGGAAGGGACCCCAGGGAUCAUCUGGUCCUACCUUUCUAGGUGAUAGUGUAA